UACGUAGGGAGCAAGCGUUGUCCGGAAUCAUUGGGCGUAAAGCGCGCGUAGGCGGCCCUGUAAGUCCGCUGUGAAAGUCAAAGGCUCAACCUUUGAAUGCCGGUGGAUACUGCAGGGCUAGAGUCCGGAAGAGGCGAGUGGAAUUCCUGGUGUAGCGGUGGAAUGCGCAGAUAUCAGGAGGAACACCAACGGCGAAGGCAGCUCGCUGGGACGGUACUGACGCUAAGGCGCGAAAGCGUGGGGAGCGAACAGG
rnacentral:rRNA from 1 species